GCUGGAAUAGCUCAGUUGGUAGAACAUGGGACUCUUAAUCUCAGGGCCGUCAGUUCAAGCCCCAUGUUGGGCA